rnacentral:rRNA from 1 species
AGAGGAGUAAAAUCUUCAAAGUAAGUUAUGUGGAUCAAGGUAUGAUGAUUAAUUGGAGUUCUAGUUCAUUUACUUUGAGAAAAUUAGAGUGUUUAAAGCAGCCUCUUGGGGCACUGAAUACAUUAGCAUGGGAUAAUAAAAUAGGAUCUUCACAAUAUAUUUUAUUGGUUUAAAUUGGAUAUGAAGAUAAUGAUUAAUAGGGACAGUUGGGGGUAUUCAUAUUGGGUGGUUAGCGGUGAAAUGCUCGGAUCCAUUCAAGAUGAACUAAAGCGAAAGCAUUUACCAAGGAUGUUUUCAUUAAUCAAGAACGAAAGUUAAGGGAUCGAAGACGAUUAGAUACCGUCGUAGUCUUAACUAUAAACUAUGCCGACCAGGGAUAUGAGUUGUUAGGAAUAUAUGAAAUAUAUUCAAUUUCUUCUUAUGGACCUUGUGAGAAAUCAUAAGUUUUUGGGUUCUGGGGGGUAGUAGUGGUCGCAAGGCUGAAACUUAAAGGAAUUGACGGAGGGG